UCCCUUGUGGUCCAGUGGUUAGGACUCUGAGCUUCUACUACAGGGGCCACGGGUUUGAUCCCUGAUCAGGGAA
rfam:TPA: Bos taurus chromosome 18, whole genome shotgun sequence.